CGGAAGGGCCGGAAAGCGCACCCGGAGCCGACCCGCCGCCGCGCUGCCAGACGCCUGCAGUUCCCGUUCUGGCAGCGGCUCGGUGCAAGCGCAGGCCCAAGGGAGAUGUCAGCUGCGGAGACGUGCCCUUCCUCCACAGCACGGGAAAGCAAGUCGGGGAGAAGAGCUGGAGGCAGCUGAACCUAUAUGAGAAAAUGGAACGGAGAGAGCCUGCGAAGGAGGAGAUCCCUGAGAAAAAGCGCAACACCAGCCAGAAGCUCAGCCUCGGAUACCUGCACAUGGCCGUCAGACAGAAGACGGGCAUGAAGACGAGAGCAGGGUCAGACCCUAAAGAACAGCAAGGCCACCUUGGCUAUGGAGCAGACAGUGGACCUGAAAUUGCAACAAGAAACAGGUACACACACACACACACACUCAGGGGAGAAACCCCUUCACCAGGGGCUUCUACCCCACGCACGGGGUCCCCUCCUCAGCCGGAGGGCACCCCAGUUCCACCCGCACGCAAGGGGAACCCUUGAAAACUUCAGGGCUAAGCCCCAUCUCACCUCCACGCACGGGGUCCUCUCCUCAGCUGGAGGGCACCCCAUUUCCACCCGCACGCAAGGGGAACCCUCGAAAACUUCAGGGCUAAGCCCCAUCUCACCUCCACGCACGGGGUCCCCUCCUCAGCCGGAGGGCACCCCAGUUUGACCUGCAUGCAAGGGGAACCCUUGAAAACUUCAGGGCUAAGCCCCAUCUCACCUCCACGCACGGGGUCCCCUCCUCAGCCGGAGGGCACCCCAGUUCUACUUGCAAACAAGGGGAACCCUUGAAAACUUCAGGGCUAAGCCCCAUCUCACCUCCACGCACGGGGUCCUCUCCUCAGUCGGAGGGCACCCCAUUUCCACCCACAUGCAAGGGGAACCCUUGAAAACUUCAGGGCUAAGCCCCAUCUCAC
ensembl:lncRNA